CAUGCUCGUGCCACCAUUGUCAACAUCACAAACUGGCUGAACUUAGAAGUCUUUACAAAUUGCAAGCACGGAAGCAACAACCUCUUAAACAGAGUUCCUACAUACUGCAAGCAUUGAAAGCAACGACUUCCAAACAAAGUUCCUACAAACUGCAAGCACAUAAGCAAAGGUCCGCAUAAGCCCGCAAAAACAGGAGGUUAGUUCAAAAUGAACUAAAUCUGAGCAUGGCGAUUACAACUAACCUUAUCAAUUUUGACUACGGAACAACUUCCUAAACGAAGUUCCAUACACAAAUACUAAGACUGGCAGCAUUGGUCCUACCUUAACCCGGCCUAUACAAAGUUACUACAGAACAACUACUUCCUACAGAUGCAGAGCCGCACUCACUUGUGCCAUAUCUAACAGCCACCACAGCCAGCUUCCCCUUGAUCCAGAAGCGCAUGCUCCAGCAACUACAGCUUGGCAAACACUUGAACACCAGCUCACUGCCCCUGGCCCAUAGAAGCUGCUUCCAUUGCUGCAGAAAAUGCGAGAAAUUGGAAUGUAAUAUCAACCAACUGGCGAAUCAUGUUAGCUCAAUGUACAUUCCGCUUACUCACCAAUCACAAGGACCGACAAGUUCCUCAGAAAAUAAAAACAGGAGUUCAUAGAAUCAUUAAGAUAUAUUGACUUGUACUCAAGAGGAACACCUCUCUUUCUUUAGCACAUAUGUUCAGCUCAAUGUGUAAAGUUUCUUGCUAAGAACCAUAUUUUCAUGCCAUGUUGCUAAGUGCCAGCGCCACCACUGUGACGCGCGAGCCGACGGCCAUCCCACC
rnacentral:lncRNA from 1 species